UAUCAAGUACUUGAUACACAAAGUUAAUGGAAGCAUUUUGUUCUGUUUGCACAAUCACAAUGCACAGUUCACAAUGGAACCAGUGUUGUUGGAGAACCCCAAGCUCGAUUGUUUAAUACCCAAGGUGAAAAGCUGGCUUUUCACACACAAAAUGUAGAUGGAAUUAAAUUAUCCAAACUAUUGAAUAAAUUUAUCCAAACUAGAAUACAAUCAGUAACAAUUCAUGAUUAUAUUUAAGUAAUUUAACCAGUUAUGUGUCAAGUCUAAGCUUAUUUCACCAUAAGAAGCA
rnacentral:lncRNA from 1 species